AUACGGAGGAUGCAAGCGUUAUCCGGAUUUAUUGGGUUUAAAGGGUGCGUAGGCGGAUGAUUAAGCGUGAGGUGAAAUGCCACUGCUCAACAGUGGAACUGCCUCGCGAACUGGUUGUCUUGAAUGCUCCUGCCGUGGGAGGAAUGUGUGGUGUAGCGGUGAAAUGCUUAGAGAUCACACAGAACACCGAUUGCGAAGGCAUCUCACGAAGGGGUGAUUGACGCUGAGGCACGAAAGCGUGGGGAUCAAACAGGAUUAGAUACCCUGGUAGUCCACGCAGUAAACGAUGAUGGCUAACCGCUGGGCUUAUCAGUUCAGUGGCCAAGCGAAAGCGAUAAGCCAUCCACCUGGGGAGUACGACCGCAAGGUUGAAACUCAAAUGAAUUGGCGGGG
rnacentral:rRNA from 1 species